rnacentral:lncRNA from 1 species
AUGAGAACCAAAAUGUCACUCUUGGAAACAGUGUGCUGGUGGUCUCUCAUGUUCGGGUGUGCGCUGUCCCAGAUCACACAUCCCAAGGAGCUGUUACUGUACAAACCGGGAAGGAGCGCAAGGGUCAUCUGUGAAGCGGAUGCAUCCGUGCCCUUGAACAGCAACCCUCUCCACUGGUACCAGCAGAAAGAGACGAUCGAGCGUAUUUUAUAUUUCACACCUGGACAGAGCAAGCCAGUAAGGGACGACAACUUUCCACCCAGGUUUCAAGCGUCCAAAAGGGACCAAAGAAGUACUCUGACCAUCAGCAACGCAGUGCCUGACGACAGCGGGUAUUAUUACUGCGCCUACUGGCAGUCCCACUGUGAGGAAACAAAGCAGAAAGCAAGACAAAAACACAAGUUGUUUUGCACUGGAACACAAACCACAAAGUUGGUUCAGUGUUUCGCUCACAUGGCACCGCAAUUGGCACAGCUUCUUUCCUCAGCAAAGCCCCAUAUUUCUAUUAUUAUUAUUAACAUUAUUAUUAUUAUUAUAGUGACACAAACACAAUACUGGUAUGUUUUUGCGGGGCCUCCAUUCAAAUAUUGGUAUAACUGACAAAAACAACUGAUCGGAUUCAAUGUCCAAAGCUUCAAAUAAAAAAAACUGAAAUCACA